rnacentral:rRNA from 1 species
GACGAACGCUGGCGGCGUGCCUAAUACAUGCAAGUUGAGCGAUGAAGAUUGGUGCUUGCACCAAUUUGAAGAGCAGCGAACGGGUGAGUAACGCGUGGGGAAUCUGCCUUUGAGCGGGGGACAACAUUUGGAAACGAAUGCUAAUACCGCAUAACAACUUUAAACAUAAGUUUUAAGUUUGAAAGAUGCAAUUGCAUCACCCAAAGAUGAUCCCGCGUUGUAUUAGCUAGUUGGUGAGGUAAAGGCUCACCAAGGCGAUGAUACAUAGCCGACCUGAGAGGGUGAUCGGCCACAUUGGGACUGAGACACGGCCCAAACUCCUACGGGAGGCAGCAGUAGGGAAUCUUCGGCAAUGGACGAAAGUCUGACCGAGCAACGCCGCGUGAGUGAAGAAGGUUUUCGGAUCGUAAAACUCUGUUAGUAGAGAAGAACGUUGGUGAGAGUGGAAAGCUCAUCAAGGGACGGUAACUACCCAGAAAGGGACGGCUAACUACGU